GGUGGGUAGUUUGACUGGGGUGGUCGCCUCCAAAAGAGUAACGGAGGCUUCCAAAGGUGCCCUCAAUACGGUUGGCAAUCGUGUGUAGAGUGCAAUGGCACAAGGGCGCUUGACUGUGAGACAUACAGGUCGAACAGGUACGAAAGUAGGGCAUAGUGAUCCGGUGGUUCCGCAUGGAAGGGCCAUCGCUCAAAGGAUAAAAGGUACUCUGGGGAUAACAGGCUGAUCUCCCCCAAGAGCUCAUAUCGACGGGGAGGUUUGGCACCUCGAUGUCGGCUCAUCGCAUCCUGGGGCGGUAGUACGUCCCAAGGGUUGGGCUGUUCGCCCAUGAAAGCGGUACGCGAGCUGGGUUCAGAACGUCGUGAGACAGUUUGGUCCCUAUCUGCCGUGGGUGUUGGAAACUUGAGAGGAUCUGUCCUUAGUACGAGAGGACCGGGAUGGACAUACCUCUGGUGGACCUGUUGUGGCGCCAGCCGCA
rnacentral:rRNA from 13 species